UCACGAAGUGAAACAAGAGUGAUGGUGACGCUGAAAGGACAAAGAGACUAAGAAACAAUGCAAAACGAGUGUGUAAUCGAGAGUAAAUGGUUUAAAUGGGGGCAGAAUGGUGGCAUUCUUCAAUCAAUUGAGAAUGUGAGAGUUAGUUCUACAGUUUCAAUACUACUAUAGUUCUACAGUUUCAAUACUACUAGCAAAAUGGUGCCGACAGCAACGGGCUACAAUUUUUAAACAACAUUACUGGCAUAGUUACAAUAUACUUGAAUGGCGGCGAAAGGAUGGUGUUU
rnacentral:lncRNA from 1 species